AUGAACGCUGGCGGCGUGCCUAAUACAUGCAAGUCGAGCGAACGGACGAGAAGCUUGCUUCUCUGAUGUUAGAGGCGGACGGGUGAGUAACACGUGGAUAACCUACCUAUAAGACUGGGAUAACUUCGGGAAACCGGAGCUAAUACCGGAUAAUAUUUUGAACCGCAUGGUUCAAAAGUGAAAGACGGUCUUGCUGUCACUUAUAGAUGGAUCCGCGCUGCAUUAGCUAGUUGGUAAGGUAACGGCUUACCAAGGCAACGAUGCAUAGCCGACCUGAGAGGGUGAUCGGCCACACUGGAACUGAGACACGGUCCAGACUCCUACGGGAGGCAGCAGUAGGGAAUCUUCCGCAAUGGGCGAAAGCCUGACGGAGCAACGCCGCGUGAGUGAUGAAGGUCUUCGGAUCGUAAAACUCUGUUAUUAGGGAAGAACAUAUGUGUAAGUAACUGUGCACAUCUUGACGGUACCUAAUCAGAAAGCCACGGCUAACUACGUG
rnacentral:rRNA from 1 species